AUUGAACGCUGGCGGCAUGCCUUACACAUGCAAGUCGAACGGCAGCACGGGAGCAAUUCUGGUGGCGAGUGGCGAACGGGUGAGUAAUAUAUCGGAACGUGCCCAGUCGUGGGGAUAACGUAGCGAAAGCUACGCUAAUACCGCAUACGAUCUAUGGAUGAAAGCGGGGGAUCGCAAGAUCUCGCGCGAUUGGAGCGGCCGAUAUCAGAUUAGGUAGUUGGUGAGGUAAAGGCUCACCAAGCCGACGAUCUGUAGCUGGUCUGAGAGGACGACCAGCCACACUGGGACUGAGACACGGCCCAGACUCCUACGGGAGGCAGCAGUGGGGAAUUUUGGACAAUGGGCGCAAGCCUGAUCCAGCAAUGCCGCGUGCAGGAUGAAGGCCUUCGGUUGUAACUGCUUUGUACGGUAACGAAACGGUAGAGCUCU
rnacentral:rRNA from 1 species